rnacentral:RNase_P_RNA from 1 species
AGUGAGAGGAAAGUAUCUACUUGCAAGAAAUUACAAGAGGAAAGUCCGGACAUCGCGAGAGAAACAUAAAAGUUAACAGCUUUGGUUUUGGAAAUAAUUCAUAAGUCCAAAAUACCACUAGUGCCACAGAGACUAUACUAGCACACCCCCACCCGUGCAAAAGGUGAAAAGUCAUUUAAUGUUUAUUUUUAUAACUGCAUUUUAUAAAUGUGUGAUAAAUUUAGGCUAUAGAUGAAAUUGAGUUUUUUGACAUUUUAGUAUUUUAACACUUCUUUUCAUAUUCCUGACGUUUUAAUACACAAUUUGGUAAACUUGUAUGUGAUGCAAUGGGAAUGGUAUUUUUAGGAAUUAUCUCUCUAUCGUUCCAAAAAAAUAUACCCAGCUUGAGCCUUGAAGUGAUUCAACGCCUAGAUAGAUUGAUACUGAUAUACAGAAUCCGGCUUAUUACUCUCACUAAAA